rnacentral:lncRNA from 1 species
AUGUGGUGCGGGAUAGCACCGAAUCCAGCCGGGUCGGCUCCAGAUGCGCGGCGCUGGUGGACCGAGCCCAGCUGGGGGACGGGGCCGGCGGAGCUCCCUCCCUUCCGCGGGGCUGGAACCGGCCCCUGGGCAGCGCCCCCAGCUCCUCCCCGCUCUGUAGGGCCGGUCCGAGCCCCUCCUCCCGUUUCCGCUGGCAGGAGCUGGAGCCGUGUCCUGCCGUGCCUGUGCAGCUCCCUCAGGACUCGGCCCUAUCCGGCUCGGCUCGGCCCGGCCCGGCCCGGCCCAGCCCAGCCCGGCCCAGCCCAGCCCAACGCGGUCCAGGGACGUGCGGGUUUGUUUGGGGACCUUUCCAUUGGCAUACAUCCAGUUGCCUCAAAAUUUAAGAAGUGCAACAUGGCAAGAGGCUGCCUGUGUUGUUUGAAAUAUAUGAUGUUCCUUUUCAAUUUGAUAUUUUGGGAAGUAGGCAUCCACCUAAUAGUUUGCACUACAGUAAUGUUGUCCAGAGUUGAUAGCUGGUGUGAUCCUGGCAUUCUGGCAAUCCACCUAUCUGCAGACGUAGUGAGGUGGGUUUUUCUGUUUUUGUUUGUUUUGUUUUGUUUUGUUUAUUUGGUUUGUUUGUUUGUUUGCUUUUUACUUUCUUGUGAAAUUCACUCAUGA